AUUUAAUUCAACAUCGAGGUCGCAAACUCAAGUAUUUAUAAGAACUAGCUACCUAAAUAACGCUGUUAUCCCUAGAGUAACUUUACACUCCAAACAAAAAUAUUAAAAAUUAAAAUCUUCAUAAAUUACCCCAAUCAAAAAUUUUACAAUCUUAAGCUUCUAGGGUCUUCUCGUCCCAAGGUUUAAUAAGAGCUUUUUUACUCUUAAAUUAAUUUCAAACUUAUUUAACAAAACUCUCUCUUUAGUAUCAACCUUUCAUUCCAGUCCCCAAUUAAAGAA
rnacentral:rRNA from 1 species